rnacentral:rRNA from 1 species
UACGUAGGGUGCGAGCGUUGUCCGGAAUUAUUGGGCGUAAAGGGCUCGUAGGCGGUCUGUCACGUCGGGAGUGAAAACCCAGGGCUCAACCCUGGGCCUGCUUCCGAUACGGGCAGACUAGAGGUAUGCAGGGGAGAAUGGAAUUCCUGGUGUAGCGGUGAAAUGCGCAGAUAUCAGGAGGAACACCGGUGGCGAAGGCGGGUCUCUGGGCCGUUACUGACGCUGAGGAGCGAAAGCGUGGGGAGCGAACAGG